GGGGGCACUGUGUCUUCUUAAAAAAAGGAAACAUUAAUUUGGUUUUAUUAAUUGUAAUCGAUAAUUCGAUCCAUUUUGAAUGUAGAAAAAUGAAGGUGCUCUAGAGAAUAGUAGCAAGCCCAAGGCGGAUUUACUAAAUCGAUGGAAAGGACAUUAUAGUCCGCUGUUUGGUGACAAAAGUGCCUAUUGUUUUGAUAAAAAAAGGGGUUUUCUGGAAUGAACACAAAUUUGCAAAGGUUCUAGCUCUUGCUGCCUGCUCCUGUAAUCCAGCGCCUGCUGAAUCUGUUGCUGUAGUGAAGGUGUUGGUGGUGGGAUGUCAGCCUGCUCAAGCAACUUGGGGGAUGCCACCAUGUGAUCCUCAUAAUAAGGAGAGGCUGUGUGGGGUCGGGAGGUGGCUGGAGAAGGCACUGGUAUUGUGAUAGCAUGUCUGCUCUCUUCUGUGGUGUGGAGUCUCUGACGUAUAGCUGGUGCAGUAUGGGAGUAGUACAUCCUCUUGCCAGUCAUGUGAUCUACACAAAAGACAUUUUAUAAACGUACUAGUCAUGUGAAUUACACAAAGGACAUUCUAUUAAUAAAGUAGUCAUGUGAUCUACAUUAGUUAUACUUGAUAAAAACAAAUUAAACAUUUACUAUUGUACAACACAAUACUGGUUUUGACAGUUUUCUAAUACAAGAAGCAAUGAAGUUGUAGAACUUUUGAAAGAAGAUGUGUAAUAUUUUGUGUGAAAAGAAUCGCCAAUUACUAUUAUAUUCAAUGGAUACCAGCACAUAUUAAACUAGAAGGAAAUAAGAAGGCUGACACACUCACCAAGUCUGGGAGAACAAACACACAAUUAAACAUUGCAUUCUAUCCAAACAAAAUGAAGAAACUAAUAGUCAAUAGAAUAAAUGAGAAAUGGACAAGCUGUCAUCUAAAUCACAAGAAAUAUGAUGCAUAUUAUAAGCUAUCCCCACAAGAUCAACGUCUAAUCUUUCACCUCAGGACAGGACACAUAUGCUCCAGAAGCUCAAACUUGGAACCAGUGAAAUCUGCCCAUGUGGAGUGUCAUGAGAGAAUGCUGACCAUGUUCUUCAAAACUGCAAUCUUUAUCAAGAGGCCCGAACAAGACACAAUAUCACAAUAAUAAAGCAUUUUAAGCUACA